rnacentral:tRNA from 1 species
CAUUGACCUAGUUUCGCUUGGGAGGAGAGAGAGGGUAAAAUUUUUUAGGAGAAAUCGAAAAAUUACCUUAA